rnacentral:rRNA from 1 species
AGAACGAACGCUGGCGGCAUGCCUAACACAUGCAAGUCGAACGUGAUCCAGGCUUCGGCCUGGUGAAAGUGGCAGACGGGUGAGUAACGCGUGGGAACCUGCCCUGUGGUAGGGAAUAACCGUGGGAAACUGCGGCUAAUACCCUAUGAGUCCUUCGGGAGAAAGAUUUAUCGCCAUAGGAGGGGCCCGCGUCGGAUUAGGUAGUUGGUGGGGUAACGGCCUACCAAGCCUUCGAUCCGUAGCUGGUCUGAGAGGAUGAUCAGCCACACUGGGACUGAGAUACGGCCCAGACUCCUACGGGAGGCAGCAGUGGGGAAUAUUGGACAAUGGGGGCAACCCUGAUCCAGCAAUGCCGCGUGGAUGAUGAAGGCCUUCGGGUUGUAAAGUCCUUUCGGCGGGGAAGAUGAUGACGGUACCCGCAGAAGAAGCCCCGGCUAACUUCGUGCCAGCAGCCGC